rnacentral:misc_RNA from 1 species
GAUGAAGAACGCAGCGAAAUGCGAAAAGUAGUGUGAAUUGCAGAAUUCAGUGAAUCAUCGAGUCUUUGAACGCACAUUGCGCCCCCUGGUAUUCCGGGGGGCAUGCCUGUCCGAGCGUCAUUGCUGCCCUCAAGCACGGCUUGUGUGUUGGGCCUCCGUCCUCCUCCCGGGGGACGGGCCCGAAAGGCAGCGGCGGCACCGCGUCCGGUCCUCGAGCGUAUGGGGCUUCGUCACCCGCUCUUGUAGGCCCGGCCGGCGCUUGCCGACACAUCAAUCUUUUUUCCAGGUUGACCUCGGAUCAGGUAGGGAUACCCGCUGAACUUAAGCAUAUCAAUAAGCGGAGGA